CGAAAAGUUAUGUAAGGGCGUAUGGGGGAUGCCUAGGCUCUCAGAGGCGAAGAAGGACGUGAUAAGCUGCGAAAAGUUGCGUGUAUUGGCACAUACGAGAUGAUACGCAAAUAUCCGAAUGGGGCAACCCAGUACAUUGAAGAUGUACUACACCGUAAAGGUGAGCAAACCCGCUGAACUGAAACAUCUUAGUAGGCGGAGGAGAAGAAAACAAAAGUGAUUCCCAAAGUAGUGGCGAGCGAAAUGGGAACAGCCCAAACCCGUAUUGUUACGGCAAUGCGGGGGUAGUAGGACCCUAAUAUAGGUUGUAGAGCUGGAUUAGAAGUGUUUGGAAAGACACACCAUAGAGAGUGAAAGUCUCGUAUAGGCACAGCGAUAUAAACCUUAAGGGAAUCCUGAGUAGGUCGGGGCACGUGGAACCUUGACUGAAUCUGCCGGGACCAUCCGGUAAGGCUAAAUACUCCUGAGAGACCGAUAGUGAACUAGUACCGUGAGGGAAAGGUGAAAAGAACCGUGAAUAACGGAGUGAAAUAGCCCCUGAAACCAUACGCUUACAAGCGGUUGGAGCAGCUACGGCUGUGACAGCGUGCCUUUUGCAUAAUGAGCCUACGAGUUACUGUUACCAGCGAGGAUAAGUAUUUCAGAUACGAAUCCGCAUCGAAAGAGAGUCUGAAAAGGGCGCAAAUAGUUGGUAGUAGUAGACGCGAAACCUGGUGAUCUACCCUUGGGCAGGUUGAAGCGCUGGUAACACAGCGUGGAGGACCGAACUGGUUGUCGUUGAAAAGACUUCGGAUGACCUGAGGGUAGGGGUGAAAGGCCAAUCAAACUGGGAAAUAGCUCGUACUCCCCGAAAUGCAUUUAGGUGCAGCGUUGAAGCGAGUUUAAUAGAGGUAGAGCUACUGAUUGGAUGCGGGGGUUUCAUCGCCUACCAAUUCCUGACAAACUCCGAAUGCUAUUAAAUGCUCAUCAGCAGUGAGGGUAUGGGUGCUAAGGUCCAUAUCCUAAAGGGAAAGAACCCGGACCAUCAGCUAAGGUCCCCAAAUAUAUGCUAAGUUGACCAAACGCGGUCUGACUGCACUGACAGCUAGGAUGUUGGCUUGGAAGCAGCCAUACAUUUAAAGAGUGCGUAACAGCUCACUAGUCGAGCGGUUGGGCAUGGAUAAUAAACGGGCAUAAGCAUAUUACCGAAGCUAUGGGGUUAUUACUAAGUAAUAUACCGGUAGGGGAGCAUUCUAUAGGCGUGGAAGCUAAAGGCGUGAGCCAUAGUGGAGCUGAUAGAAAAGAAAAUGUAGGCAUAAGUAACGAUAAGGCAGGCGAGAAACCUGCCCGCCGAAAGAUCAAGGUUUCCUCAGCUAUGCUAAUCAGCUGAGGGUUAGUCGGGGACUAACGCGCACCCGAG
rnacentral:rRNA from 1 species